rnacentral:lncRNA from 1 species
AAUAUAUAUAUAUAUAAUGUCAUUGUGUUGAUGAUGCCGUAUUAAUUUAAAUUAUCAUAUACUCUAUAACUUAUAAAUAGUAUUAUUGUGCAAUGUUGUGAGAAAUUCACACCACAACGACGGUUAUUUGCAAGCAACAUAUAUACGGACCAAAAUCGCGAGAGUCACAUCGCGACCACAACUCGAAUGAGACUAUUUUUUAAAAUCUUGCAGGCAUCCAUUAGAGUUAAGUAUAACUAUAAUACCUAAAUAAAAUAAAUAACAAUAUAUUCAAAUUCACCACUUCUGUCUCAAGUUGAAUAGCUAUUCUCGACCGUUGUUAGGUCAUUCACAAAUGAUAUCGCAACAUAUUAAUAAUUAAAAAUUAGUGGUUAAUAGACAAAGAUAAUGCCUUUUAAUAUAAAAAUAAUCUUCGCUUUCUCAAUCGCCAAAAUAAAUAGCACGAACAUAUUCAAUCUUUAGUGACCAAUAGCGAUCGGAGACAAUUUUUUUUGUAGUAUUAUCAAAUUAGUAUCCAAAACUUGAGUCUCUAAAUGAUAUUUCUAAUGUUGUGCUUGACUUUAAGAUGAAUGUAAUAAUUAGAUAUGGAAUAUAUAUUAAUUCCGUGUUAAAUUUAAAAUAAAAUGUAAGUUAAGUUAAAGAAAAAUCUCAAUUAUUAAAAUUUUAUAGUUAAUGUAGGGUGAAAACUGACAUAACAAAAUAAUUUUUAAUUUAAAUACUAAAAAUACUAUAAGAUUGUAAUGAAUGUAUGAAAAAUGAAUACUUGAAUUGAUACCUAAAAUUUAUAAAAAGAGAUAGUCUAAGUAAUAUUAAUUGAGACCUUAUUUUAUUUCAUAGCCUUCAUCUUAGAUUAUAAAGUCAUAAAAAUACAAUUCUUGAAAUUAAAUAAGAAAAUAAAAACAAAAGUUAAGUGACAGCACAAUUGAUAUAGUGAAAUUGGCCACUCUCUUGGAUAAUGAUCCUAUAUACUCCCUCUGUUUUUAUAUAAGUUUUUUUGGGAAGAAAAUUUAUAAUAAAAUAUAAAUUUGUUUUGUAAUACUACAAAAUUAUUAAUAUUAUUUUUUAAUUCUGUUCCAUACAGAAUGAUUAUUUUUUUAAGAUGUGUGGAAAAUAAAAAACAAUUUAUAAAAAGCAGAGAUAAUAUAAUAUUAAGAAGAUAUAAACUCUUCUGCCGCUGCUACACAUCUACACCAACUACUGACACACUUUACUGUCUUAGGUUCUUCACACAAAUAUGGAAGACAACCCGAAUCAGUAGAACAUCGAUAGAACACGGCUGUGAGGAUAAGAGAUGAUAAAGUAAUCAAAAUCAUAUUGGUCAAAAUAUUGUGUACAAAUUAAAUAAGAAAGUUUGAAAAACAUAAAAAUGACUUACAUUCAACAACGUUUAUAGAAGCAAAACAUAGAAAAGAUAUGAUAAUUGUCACAUAAACAAACUUUAUAAUUUUAGCCAUAUUUCUUCUCUUUUCCAUGUAAUAAAUGGUUUUAUCAUUU